AGUGAACGCUGGCGGUAGGCCUAACACAUGCAAGUCGAACGGCAGCACAGUAAGAGCUUGCUCUUACGGGUGGCGAGUGGCGGACGGGUGAGGAAUACAUCGGAAUCUACUUUUUCGUGGGGGAUAACGUAGGGAAACUUACGCUAAUACCGCAUACGACCUACGGGUGAAAGCAGGGGAUCUUCGGACCUUGCGCGAUUGAAUGAGCCGAUGUCGGAUUAGCUAGUUGGCGGGGUAAAGGCCCACCAAGGCGACGAUCCGUAGCUGGUCUGAGAGGAUGAAUAGCCAAACUGGAAAUGAGACACGGUUCCAACUCCCAACGGAAGCAGGCGGUGGGAAUAUUGGGCCAUUGGGGGAAACCUGGUUCCGGCCUACCGCCGGGGGGGAGAAGGCCUUCGGGGUGGAAAGCCCCUUUGUUGGGAAAGAAAAGCAGCAGGUUAAUACCCCGCUGUUCUGACGGUACCCAAAGAAUAAGUACCGGCUAACUUCGUG
rnacentral:rRNA from 1 species